AGAGUUUGAUCCUGGCUCAGAUUGAACGCUGGCGGCAGGCCUAACACAUGCAAGUCGAGCGGAUGAGAAGAGCUUGCUCUUCGAUUCAGCGGCGGACGGGUGAGUAAUGCCUAGGAAUCUGCCUGGUAGUGGGGGACAACGUUUCGAAAGGAACGCUAAUACCGCAUACGUCCUACGGGAGAAAGCAGGGGACCUUCGGGCCUUGCGCUAUCAGAUGAGCCUAGGUCGGAUUAGCUAGUUGGUGAGGUAAUGGCUCACCAAGGCGACGAUCCGUAACUGGUCUGAGAGGAUGAUCAGUCACACUGGAACUGAGACACGGUCCAGACUCCUACGGGAGGCAGCAGUGGGGAAUAUUGGACAAUGGGCGAAAGCCUGAUCCAGCCAUGCCGCGUGUGUGAAGAAGGUCUUCGGAUUGUAAAGCACUUUAAGUUGGGAGGAAGGGCAUUAACCUAAUACGUUAGUGUUUUGACGUUACCGACAGAAUAAGCACCGGCUAACUCUGUGCCAGCAGCCGCGGUAAUACAGAGGGUGCAAGCGUUAAUCGGAAUUACUGGGCGUAAAGCGCGCGUAGGUGGUUUGUUAAGUUGGAUGUGAAAGCCCCGGGCUCAACCUGGGAACUGCAUCCAAAACUGGCAAGCUAGAGUACGGUAGAGGGUGGUGGAAUUUCCUGUGUAGCGGU
rnacentral:rRNA from 2 species